GACGAACCGAGCGAACGUUGUUCGGAAUCACUGGGCUUAAAGGGCGCGUAGGCGGGCUGCUCAAGUCCGUGGUGAAACUCCUCCCGGGCUCAACCGGAGAACGUGGCCUCGGAUACUGGGCGUCUCGAGUGUGGUAGGGGUAUGCGGAACUAUCGGUGGAGCGGUGAAAUGCGUUGAGAUCGGAAGGAACGCCGGUGGCGAAAGCGGCGUGCUGGGCAGCCUCCGUGACGCUGAGGCGCGAAAGCCAGGGGAGCGAACGGG
rnacentral:rRNA from 1 species